UCCCGUGGUCUAGUGGUCAGAGUGUAAGUCUCAGAUGCUGGAGGUCACGGGUUCGAACCCUGGUCGAGUCAA